CGAAGCUGGAAUCGCUAGUAAUCGCGAAUCAGAAUGUCGCGGUGAAUACGUUCCCGGGUCUUGUACACACCGCCCGUCACACCAUGGGAGUCAGCAACGCCCGAAGUCAGUGACCCAACCGAAAGGAGGGAGCUGCCGAAGGCGGGGCAGGUAACUGGGGUGAAGUCGUAACAAGGUAGC
rnacentral:rRNA from 1 species